UACCAGCUCCCCGAGUGGUAGGGGCUAUUAUUGGGCCUAAAGCGUCCGUAGCUGGUUUUGCAAGUCUCUUGUUAAAUCCAACGAUUCAAUCGUUGGACUGCGGGAGAUACUGCAGAACUAGGAGGCGGAAGAAGCCGACGGUACUCUUGGGGUAGGGGUAAAAUCUUAUAAUCCCAGGAGGACCACCAGUGGCGAAAGCGGUCGGCUAGAACGCGCUCGACGGUGAGGGACGAAAGCUGGGGGAGCGAUCCGG
rnacentral:rRNA from 1 species